rnacentral:rRNA from 1 species
ACUCAAAUGAAUUGACGGGGCCCCGCACAAGCAGCGGAGCGUGUGGUUUAAUUCGAUGUUACACGAAGAACCUUACCAGGGUUUGACAUGUAAGUGGUAGGGAAGCGAAAGCAGACCGACCCUUCGGGGAGCUUGCACAGGUGCUGCAUGGCUGUCGUCAGCUCGUGUCGUGAGAUGUUCGGUUAAGUCCGCUAACGAGCGCAACCCUCGCUGUAUGUUACAAGUGUCAUACGGUACUGCCGGUCUCAAACCGGAGGAAGGUGGGGAUGACGUCAAGUCAGCAUGGCCUUUAUAUCCUGGGCUACACACACGCUACAAUGGCCGGUACAAUAGGUAGCGAAGCCGCGAGGUGGAGCCAAUCCUCAAAGCCGGCCUCAGUUCAGAUUGUAGGCUGCAACUCGCCUGCAUGAAGCCGGAGUUGCUAGUAACCGCAGGUCAGCUAUACUGCGGUGAAUACGUUCCCGGGGCUUGUACACACCGCCCGU